CUCCUUCACGCUUUCUCAUUUGAGUAUUUGACAACCCUAAUACGUUUUGAUGCCGCUACAAUUCCUCUUGCUUUAAACCGCACGACGGUGGAACAUUAAGAACCUGCAAAAGCUUCAUAUCUUUGGAUCCCAAAACCAUCGAUUCUUUGUCACAAACCCUAAACCUUCAUCAAAUCGGUGCAACCCUAAUCCUCUUCAUCUCCUCCACCGUCCGUGUGUGUUUCACUCAGAUUUCUUCAUCGCCAACACGAUUCCGUAUCCAGAGUUUAUUUACUAUGGCUUGAUCGUUAUGGUUUCCUCCUCAUCAAUCCUUAAUCAGGUAUUUUGCGGACAAUGGAAAGAAAACAUAAAAACAUUUCAUUUAGAGGAGAUUCAAAUUGGCUUGGGUUUAGUAAGUGUCGGAAGAGGGAUGUGUUGGGAGAUGGUGUGAUUCAGGCAUCAUUUUUAUAGCCGAUGUAGUCUAAAGAUGAAGCCCAGGCCACCGAAGGUUACAAGUCGUGCAAAUUGAUUCUGAGAAGUAUAUGUGUCUCAAUGUGGGGCGUGGGAAGUUUAUAACUGAUUGUGAGCCAAAUAUCCAGUACUUCAGCCUGGAAAUAAUAAAAAGACUCUGUGUUAUAAGCAACAGUAUUCAUUGAGUGGGCAUGGACAUGUUUCAUUGGAUAAAAUCAAGAAAAUUGUUGCUGAAAUGGCUGGGGUGU
rnacentral:lncRNA from 1 species